rnacentral:lncRNA from 1 species
CUCCACUUGGGACCACAGAAGCUGACAUGCGGGUUGAGGUGGACCCGGGCAGCCGAUUUCGCGUGGCAGAGUCCUGCCUGGGGCUGGUGGGCUGUGCGUGCGUGAUCUACGCCGUGCUGGCGCCCCGCUGGAUGGACGGCCAAGGGCUGUGGACCCAAGCGGACACGUCCCCGUCCGAGGGAGAGCAGCCAGGGGAGAACGUGGACGCGGUGAAAGUGCUGGAGUUUGAGAGAGUGUUUGCAGUGUUUUCCUGCAUCAUGGCCAUGUGUUCAGGAGUUCUGUGCCUCGUCUUCGCCCUCUGCUGGACAUCCCAGACGCUGGGCUCGUAUGCCAACACACGCUCCCUCCUGAUGGCCGGGACCUCCCUUCAGCCCACCACCCUCCUGCUCAUAGUCCUCAACUUUACAGGGUUUUUCUUCCUCAUGACCUGGGCUCUGUUCACCCACCAGCACAUAGCAGAGAUCCGCGGCGACCUCGGCCGCCUGGGAUCGUCCUACUGGACGGGCGCGGCCGGCUGGGCGCUGCUAAUGGGCGCCAUGCCGGCCACCUUCCUCGCGGAACAAUUUGUCGUGCCGAACAUCCUUCCCGAAAUCGCGAGGACCUCCGAGCUGUGGUCCAGGCGGCCGCGUACGGGGGGGCGUUCGUACAGCGACAGCCAUCAUGUCCAGCGGAACAAGCACCCCGGGGGGGUGAGGCGAUACAUGUCAGUGCCCUGAUGGAACAUCUGAGGCGUGCAGCUCAAAUGUCUGUCGGGUGGCUGUCCGUCGAACACGGUGGUCAAAGAUGAGCAAUCCCUACCUUUAGACCCCAAGCUCUCUGAGCCGGCAGCGGGGUUCCUGCUACAAGAUGAAAGGAUCACACUAAAAGGAGCGGGCAGUUCCAAAGGCUGCAGUUCCACUUGGAAAACAGUGAUGACAGAUGAUUUCUUUCUUUACUUCUUUCUUUUUUUAAGGUCUGAGACUGAACAGAAUUAAAUGGCCCACCUUUUCAUUAAGCAGCUCUGACAUGCAUUACUGUUAACGUUUGAAUGCGAAUUCAGUUCAGGGAUGCGUUUCUGACGGCUUCUUUCAUUCCACUGAGAAGUACGUUGACCUGCUGUCACCACAGACCUCUGUUCCUGUGUAGGUUAUUACAUGACUCCACAGAUACUUUUAACACUUAAUUUGAGGUGUAACCAAAAGGAAUUGCACAUUUAAUAAUGAGCGGUGCUGUUGUAUUCAUAGUUGGGGUCCUAGUUGGCGUCCGGAAUUGACCUCUUCAUCGAUGGUAACUUGAAAGCACGUUGUAAGUCGCUCUGCAUAAGGGCGUCUGCCAAAUGCCGUAAAUGUAAAUGUAAAUGUUGUAACGUAUCAUAUUUAUCGUACGUACAUUGGACCCCGUGUCUGAAGAAGCUAUCAGUUGUUAACGAAAUGUCCUUUUAGCAAUGUUGAACGUGCAAUGAUUUAUAUCCGUCCCCGGCAGGGGGU